rnacentral:rRNA from 1 species
AGGACGAACGCUGACGGCGUGCUUAACACAUGCAAGUCGAGCGGAAAGGCCCUUCGGGGUACUCGAGCGGCGAACGGGUGAGUAACACGUGAGCAACCUGCCCUUGGCUCUGGGAUAGCCUCCGGAAACGGGGAUUAAUACCGGACAUUCACUUUCUCCUGCAUGGGGGGUUGGUGGAAAGUUUUUCGGCCAGGGAGGGGCUCGCGGCCUAUCAGCUUGUUGGCGGGGUAACGGCCCACCAAGGCGACGACGGGUAG